UACAGAGGGGCAAGCGUUGUCCGGAUUUACUGGGCGUACAGCGCGCGCAGGCGGCUAGGUAUGUGACCGGUGACAAUCCGUCGGGCCGUCAACCCGAGGCGGCCCGGUUAGGACAAGCCUGGCUGGAGGCAGGGAGGAGGGAUGUGGAAUGACCCGGGUGGAGGCGGAUGAAAUGCGUAGAGAUCGGGUGGAACACCAGCGGCGAAGGCGGCAUCCUGGCCCUGUACUGACGCUGAGGCGCGAUAGCGUGGGGAGCAAACGGG
rnacentral:rRNA from 1 species